rfam:Flavisolibacter ginsengisoli DSM 18119 genome assembly, contig: EJ52DRAFT_scaffold00004.4
AGGGACGUAGCCCCGCCAGAGGCGGGGCACUAGCAUGGGGUGCUAGGGGUCGCAAGUUCGAAUCUUGUCGUCCCGA